rnacentral:rRNA from 1 species
UACAGAGGGGGCAAGCGUUGUUCGGAUUCAUUGGGCGUAAAGGGUGCGUAGGUGGCGCGCUAAGUCAGGUGUGAAAUUUCGGAGCUUAACUCCGAAACUGCAUUUGAUACUGGCGUGCUUGAGGACUGGAGAGGAGACUGGAAUUCACGGUGUAGCAGUGAAAUGCGUAGAUAUCGUGAGGAAGACCAGUGGCGAAGGCGGGUCUCUGGACAGUUCCUGACACUGAGGCACGAAGGCCAGGGGAGCAAACGGG